rfam:Helianthus annuus linkage group 11, whole genome shotgun sequence.
UGUGGCCGUUGAUGAAUAAAGUUUUGCCUACAUUGUCCGAUUGUUAUUUGUGACGAGAAGACUGAAGUUUCUGAGGCCUUU